rnacentral:lncRNA from 1 species
ACAACCACUUAGGGAACUUUCCCCUGAAAGAAUAUACCUAAAAUUAUGCGCUGAAAUACACAGAUCAAUUUAAAGGCUGGCCAGAAAUUAACAGAGAAAAUAGCCUAAUAUAAAUUAAAAAAUACGUAAUGUUUCUCAGAAACAACAGAGGAAGUAAAAGCACCUGUUUUUCCAAGUACUGCCACCAGUUUAGAGUUAGACUUAGGGACCCCUCACAACUAUAAUGGCUUCAGUUAUUGGUAUAUUUUUACAUCCCUGCCUCCCAAUAUGGAACUUUACUGAAAAGAUGGAAGCAUUUUAAAUGAGAAGAGAUUAUUUUUACUCUUAAAUCAGGUAAAAUGGGCCAGAAGGCACGGUGGCUCACGCCUGUAAUCCCAGCACUUUGGGAGGCUGAGGCGGGUGGAUCACCUGAGGUCAGGAGUUUGAGACCAGCCUGACCAAUAUGAUGAAACCCCAUCUCUAAGUGAUCUGCCCGCCUCAGCCUCCCAAAGUGCUGGGAUUACAGGCGUGAGCCACCACACCUGGCCUGUGGCCUCCUAAUUUCUAUCAAGUCAAUGUAGGAAAAAGUACCUAGCACCCCUGCCCUCCAGGGUUCAGCCCCAUCCUCCCCAACAGCAAUAUCACCUUCUUCCACAACAUUUAAUAUUUAAUCACUUAUAUGAUUUCAGAAUUGUUUUAUGUCUGUUAUAAUCAAUUAAAAUAAAAUUAUAAUAAAAACUCUUUUAAGGAGAACUUUAUUAAACAGUUACCACUGUAUAGUUCCACAAAAUUAGUUUUUUUCAGCUUUCUGAUAGAUUCUACACACUGAGAUUUCAAAAAAUGGUUUGCAUCCCAAUUAUUAUCAAUUACCUAAGUUCUUCACCGUAAGUUUUUUUCCACUCAGAUUCUGACAGAUAAACAUGAAUUUAUAGAAGAACCAAUUUAUUAAACAUUCUUAUCCAUUUUAAGAAUCGGGUAUUUGGUCUUCAGCCCCAGCAGAGGUAUCCAGCCUGGCACAGAGGCUAAGUAUUUGUAGAAUACAUUAAACCACAACUGUUUCUUAAUUUUUUCUAUGGAAAGUUUAAAUUUUAUCAUUAUGCUCAUGAGUUUGCAUAAGGAGUUACUGAUUACAAAUAAUUUGACAGUCUCAUCAUACUUAUUAAGUUCUCAACUUAAUAGAAAAAUUUUAAGUGAUAGUUUUAAAAUUCCUACUAAAGAAACAACUAGUUACCAAAGCCUCGAUCAGUAAGUAAACAUUUUUAAAUGUAAUACUUCUCUUUUCCUUGGACUUUUUCUUUUUCUUCAUUACUAUUA